UACGUAGGGUGCGAGCGUUGUCCGGAAUUACUGGGCGUAAAGCGUGCGUAGGCGGUUCGCUGUGUCCGAUGUGAAAGCCCCGGGCUUAACCUGGGAAUAGCAUUGGAAACUGGCGGGCUUGAGUGUGGCAGAGGGGGGUGGAAUUCCGCGUGUAGCAGUGAAAUGCGUAGAGAUCGGGAGGAACACCCGUGGCGAAGGCGGCCAUCUGGACCAGCACUGACGCUGAGGCACGAAAGCGUGGGGAGCAAACAGG
rnacentral:rRNA from 1 species